rnacentral:rRNA from 1 species
CCUACGGGGGGCUGCAGUAAGGAAUAUUGGUCAAUGGACGACAGUCUGAACCAGCCAUCCCGCGUGCAGGAUGAAAGCCCUAUGGGUUGUAAACUGCUUUUAGCAGAGAAGAAAAGCUUUCAUUAAUGAGAGUCUGACGGUAUCUGCAGAAUAAGCACCGGCUAACUACGUGCCAGCAGCCGCGGUAAUACGGAGGGUGCGAGCGUUAUCCGGUUUGACUGGGUUGUAGGCGGAGUUUGAAGUCAGUGGUGAAAUCUUGUUGCUUAACUAUAAAAUUGCCAAUGAUACUGGUACUCUUGAAUUGGGUUGAGGUUAGCGGAAUGUGACAUGUAGCGGUGAAAUGCAUAGAUAUGUCAUGGAACACCAAUUGCGAAGGCAGCUAACUGGGCCUUGAUUGACGCUGAGGCACGAAAGCGUGGGUAGCGAACAGGAUUAGAUACCCGUGUAGUC